CCUUAAAGAGUUUAAAAGUCAAUUGUAUAAUCUAACUCUGGCUACCUGUUUGGGACCCCUUCCAUGCUGUGGAAACUUUGUACUUCCACUCUGCUCAAUAAGGCCUACAGCCUUUUCUCUCUAUCGGUCCGUGUCUCUAUCACUUGCCAUGGUCAUCGCCACUCCAAUUCUUUGGCAUGGCUAGGCAAGAACCUUAAGCAUUACAUUUUGGUGAGCCAGCCAGGAGACUCCAGGAAAUGCAUCUAGAUUGUCACAUGUUAAAGUGGCAGGACUGGAAUCCUGGAUUCACCACACCUGAGUUAAACCUUAGACACCUCCUGAGGAACUUAGAGGAUCAUCAUCUCAGGAGUCACAAGGUCAGCCAGACCAGCCUCGAUACACCUGUCAGCCACUAGAGGACCUGCAACUCCUAUUUCGGAAGGAAACAUCUCAGACCAGAAAAACUCCUGCAGUUAAUCCUGAAGAGGAACUUCUCC
rnacentral:lncRNA from 1 species